AUGGACUGAAACAGUUUUAAGUAGGGCAAAGGCAUAAUUUUAAGAGCAUCCAGCCGUGGGUAAUAAUGUAGAGUGGAAAGUUUUGUCCGGAAUUUAUUAGGUGUAAAGGGCAUGACAGGCGGUCAUUUAAAUAUGAUGAAAAAAGCUCACGGAUUCAACCGUGGAGGAUCAUUGGAAACUGGGGGGAAUAGAGUACUGAAGAGGAAAGACGGAAUUUCAUGUGUAGCGGAGAAAUGAGUAGAGAUGUGGAAGGAACACCAGAGGAGAAGGCGGCUUUAUGGUCUGUAUCUGACGCUGAGGCGCGAAAGAGUGGGGAGCAAACAGGAUUAGAUACCCUGGUAGUUCACGCCGUAAACGAUGAGUGAUAAGUGUUAGGGGGUUUCCGCACCUUAGUGCUACAGCUAGCACAUUAAGCAGUCCGCAUGGGGAAGUACGUCCGCAAGGCUGUAUCUCAAAGGAAUUGACGGGGGACCGCACAAGCGGUGGAGCAUGUGGUUUAAUUAGAAGCAACGCGAAGGACCUUACCAGGUCUUGACAUCCCACUGACCGGCUUAGAGAUAAGUCUUUCCUUUCAGAGACAGUGGUGACAGGUGGUGCAUGGUUGUCGUCAGCUCGUGUCGUGAGAUGUUGGGUUAAGUCCCGCAACGAGCGCAACCCUUGAUCUUAGUUGCCAGCAUUUAGAUGGGCACUCUAAGGUGACUACCGGUGACAAACCGGAGGAAGGUGGGGAUGACGUCAAAUAAACGUGCCCCUCAUACCGGGGAAAUCG
rnacentral:rRNA from 1 species